rnacentral:rRNA from 1 species
GACGAACGCUGGCGGCGUGCCUUACACAUGCAAGUCGAACGGCAGCACGGGUGCUUGCACCUGGUGGCGAGUGGCGAACGGGUGAGUAAUACAUCGGAACGUACCUUAUCGUGGGGGAUAACGCAGCGAAAGCUGCGCUAAUACCGCAUACGCACUGAGGGGGAAAGCGGGGGAUCGCAAGACCUCGCGCGAUUAGAGCGGCCGAUGCCUGAUUAGCUAGUUGGUGGGGUAAAAGCCCACCAAGGCGACGAUCAGUAGCUGGUCUGAGAGGACGAUCAGCCACACUGGGACUGAGACACGGCCCAGACUCCUACGGGAGGCAGCAGUGGGGAAUUUUGGACAAUGGGGGCAACCCUGAUCCAGCAAUGCCGCGUGAGUGAAGAAGGCCUUCGGGUUGUAAAGCUCUUUUGUCAGGGAAGAAACACCGGCUCUAACACAGUCCGGGAAUGACGGUACCUGAAGAAUAAGCACCGGCUAACUACGUGCCAGCAGCCGCCGUAA